AUUGAACGCUGGCGGAAUGCUUUACACAUGCAAGUCGAACGGCAGCACGGACUUCGGUCUGGUGGCGAGUGGCGAACGGGUGAGUAAUACAUCGGAACGUGCCCAGUCGUGGGGGAUAACGUAGCGAAAGCUACGCUAAUACCGCAUACGAUCUACGGAUGAAAGCGGGGGAUCGCAAGACCUCGCGCGGUUGGAGCGGCCGAUGGCAGAUUAGGUAGUUGGUAGGGUAAAGGCCUACCAAGCCGACGAUCUGUAGCUGGUCUGAGAGGAUGAUCAGCCACACUGGGACUGAGACACGGCCCAGACUCCUACGGGAGGCAGCAGUGGGGAAUUUUGGACAAUGGACGCAAGUCUGAUCCAGCCAUUCCGCGUGCAGGAUGAAGGCCCUCGGGUUGUAAACUGCUUUUGUACAGAACGAAAAGGCUCUGGUUAAUACCUGGGGCUCAUGACGGUACUGUAAGAAUAAGCACCGGCUAACUACGUGCCAGCCGCCGCGGUAA
rnacentral:rRNA from 1 species